UCUGAAUUUAUAAUUCAAAUGUAUGCAGACGCAUUGCAGCCUUUAUUGAUCCAGGGCCAUGGUCUGAGAAGACAGGGAGAGACCUUGAACAUUUUCCUCUUCAGUCCAACGGACAUGACUGUGGGAUCUUCAUGUUAAUGUAUGCCCUCUGCAUCAGCACAUCAACCCCAUUUACCUUUUCCCAGUGGGAGAUGCCAACCAUUCGCCGUUGGUGGUGCCUCCAGAUAAU